rnacentral:lncRNA from 1 species
UUUUGUUUGGUUUGUAUCUGUUGUGAAAAGAGUUCCAUGGUAUUUAUUGAACUUGCCACUUAGCUGAGGAUGACCUUGGACGCACGAGGUCUUCUUAUGUCUACCUCCUAAGUGCUGUGAUGACAAAUGUGUCACUACCAAACCCAGCCCUGUUGACUAUUUAAAAGUAUAGAAUUCAGGGACUGGGAAAGCGGCUCAGUGGGUAAGGGCCUGAGUUCUGUCUCCAGCACCUGUGUAGAUGGUGAACAGGCAGGGUGGCCUACCUGGAAUCCCAUGUGCUCCGGAGGUGGCAACAGGGGACCCCAGAGUAAGCUGGCUCCUGGCAGAGAACCAAUGAAGAAGACAUCCAAUAUUGACUUCUUGCACACAUGUAUGUAUGAAUACCUGCACCCACAUACACACAUACAUGCAUGCUUGUGGAGGUCAGGGGACAGCUUCUGGGAGUCUGUUCUCUCUUUCUAUCAUGUAAGUCCCAUGGAACUCAGGUCACCAGCGAGCAAGAAGGCAGCAGCACCUCUACCCGGCUGGGCUGUCUCCUAACCCCUGUCCAAAACAUUCCGUAAGGUAAUGGUCCAACUGCUUGAGGCCCAUAUGUGUGUGUUGGUGAUCCGCCCACCUAUGACAGGAAGACUGGUCAUUGUAUGCACAGUGGGGGACUCGGGCAGUGUCUGUCUGAUCAUCUUACUUGCUGUGACAUCACUGCCCACGGAUCAGAGGCCCUCAGUGCUGGUUAGUGAAUUUCAUCCCAUCCCACCUUUCUCCAUGACAUGCUUCUCUUUCUCUUGGCUGCAUGGAGACUUGGCUUGUGUGGGGAUGGCCCUCUUGCCUCCUGUUAUUCGCUUUGUAACCCAUGUGUUGCCUCCUGGAGUUUUAUGUGGUGACCAGUUACCAUAUCUGGGUAUCUCAGUGCUCACCUGGAGGUCAGAUGUGGCAUCUCAGUGACCGGCAUUAUUGAUGCUUCCACCAGUCCCUCCUUGGGCUCAGCCUGAGCUUGUGUUAUAGCUGGCACCUUAGGAGAGCUCCAUUAUGCCAGCCUGGGCUUCAGGUGGCCUGGGACAGGACUUUUCACUCUCCCUUCUCCUAUCCUAUGCCUCACUUCCUCCCUAUACUGGUUCAUCCCAGUCUGUGCCAGCAACUUCUGCAAGAGCUACAAGCAUCCCACGCAAGACUGUAUCUCUGACAGCAUGAGAAAGAACAAAAGGAGACACUAGUUGCUUAGCCUCAUUCCGCCCUCUAUCUUUAACUGUCCGUAAAAAGGGACAUUAUCUGGGUCCCUUUGGUCCUCAUCACACGUUCCUGUUGCCCAGGAGGGAGGAACCAGGAAAAGCAAAGCCAGACGUGGGCAGUAUCCAGGCUGGGGCAAGGAUGACCCUCAUGGGCUGAUGGAGGCAGGGAGGUCUGGAGUAGACACACAGCUGACUGCAGGCGCCUGUGCUUCAUGAGGUUGGCCGAAAGUCACCACAGGAGUCUCACCCUGAAGACCCAUCCCAGGGACAUCUUCUCUGUAUCCUGGUUCAGCUGGGAUCCAGUGAGAUCCGUACCCAUAUCUGCCAGCAGAGGGCGGAAGUGUCUCAGCUGAGCCCGGGCACUCCAGCCUUGCUGGAGGGAGCCAGUGAGAGUGUCUACACUGCAUGGAAAUCCUGGGGCACCUGCCAGAAACUUUCCUGGGACUCUCUCUGAUGCCUCAUCACUCAGGAGGAGUGAGAAGAUCUGUGGCCCUCAGGAUUCUCACUGGGCACCCUAAACAGAGUAGAUGGGAUAAGCAAUAAUCUCAGAAUGCCAGGUGGAGAGAGGCUCCAGUCCAGCAUGGGCAUGUCAGACCCUGGUGCACAGGCUGGGUAGGCCCCAGAGUGCAGAAACUCCACUGUCCUGCAGAAAUCUCACAAGAGCCUCCUUUCCCAGCUUCCGAUUGGCCUAGCCAUGCCGUGGAGUCCCUGAAGCCUUAUUCCCCUGCGGCUAAUAGAGGAUGUGUCCCUCGGGCAAAUAUACUCUAACUAGGAUCUGGGGCAGUGUUCUGCUCACCAGCAUCCACCAGGCAUCUGUGUUGGCAUGUCUGGGCUAGAUGGAGCCUAGAUGUAAAAACCGAUUCUGGGCUUGCCAGGGUAGACCUAUUAGGAGGGUCCCAGAGCUACACAGACGGCCAAGUAUUCAUGUGAGUCUCAGGGGACCCCAGCAAGGUCUCAUUGGAUGGCUGUCUCUGUAUUCAGCCCCCAUGUCAUCCCCUCUCACUCUUACAUUUCUCGCUCUGCUGGGAAGCUUGGGGAAGGCCUUCCGGAACACCAACAACAGACGCCCCCAAGCUUCUCACACAUGGGAAUUCUGCGCUGGCAGCUUUAGCUGAGAUGCCCACUUGGGUGCCCAGCACUUGGAUACAGCAGCUGCUGGCCUGAGGUCCUUGAUAUCUAGGGCCCCCUCUGACUCAUGUGGAAGCCCUUCCUUUGCAGUUGGUGUCUUCUAUCUUCAUCCCAUUUUGACAUGUGAGAAGCACAUGCUAAAAUCACCUCCCCUGCCACCCUAUCCCUGGUUUCUUCUAAGACCUGAGUUCACAGAUUCAGAGCAAAACCCACUGUCUUUUACUGGCUUGCCAGACUGAGGCCAUAGAGCCUGGAGUCCACAUGUCCAAGGGUCAGAUGGGCCAUGGAACACAGCGAGAACAGCUGUACAGUGGGAGCUAUGGCCUCGCAAGCUCAGCACAUUGCAUGUACAGUCGGGCUCUGACCUUUACAGCAAGCUGUGGUGUGAGCCCUUUCCUCCUCCACACAGAUGGAUAACAGGGCUUCAAGAGCUGAGAAAUCUGACCCAGAACCAUAAUCAAGUGCUCUGCUUUGGUAAUGGCAUCAUCCCCCCCCCCCUAGAACACAGCUAAAUCUGGUUUUGAAAUGCAUCAGCCGCCUGUCUGUGCUUGGGUUUUGUUGUAGUUAAACCAUUAGUGUAGGUUUUUAUUCUGGGGAGACAUAUAUAGUGCUAGGCUUAUGCAUCUCAUCAUUUCUAAUGCACAGCUGAGGGUACUCAGUUCCUGUUGUGAAACCCUCACCACCCUUUAGCUCCAGAGUGAUCACCUUCCCUCACUGAGGCUCUAUCCCCACUAGACACCAGUCUCCAACACCUUCUCCCUAGAGCCUGGACACCAGUCUCCAUCACCCUCUCCCUAGAGCCUGGACACCAGUCACCACACCCUCUCCCUAGAGCCUGGACAUCAGUCUCCAUCACCCUCUCCUAGAGCCUGGACAUCAGUCUCCAUCACCCUCUCCUAGAGCCUGGACACCAGUCUC